rnacentral:rRNA from 1 species
GGUAACACGUAUCCAACCUGCCGUCUACUCUUGACAGCCUUCUGAAAGGAAGAUUAAUACAAGAUGGCAUCAUGAGUCCGCAUGUUCACAUGAUUAAAGGUAUUCCGGUAGACGAUGGGGAUGCGUUCCAUUAGAUAGUAGGCGGGGUAACGGCCCACCUAGUCUUCGAUGGAUAGGGGUUCUGAGAGGAAGGUCCCCCACAUUGGAACUGAGACACGGUCCAA